CACCGCGGUCAGACGAAGUGGCCCAAGUUGACGAACAUCGGCGUAAAGAGUGGUUAAGGGCAAGCACAGCUAAAGCGGAAGCUCCCCUUGGCCGUUAUACGCAUUUGGAGGAGCGAAGACCUAUCACGAAAGUGGCUUUAUCUCACCUGAACCCACGACAGCUAAGGAA
rnacentral:rRNA from 1 species